CGAAUUAUAGUCUUUGGGGGGCGUUAUUAUUUACACUAAUAAUUUAGUUGUUCGAUUCAACUUAAUUUGA
rnacentral:tRNA from 2 species